rnacentral:rRNA from 1 species
GAUGAACGCUAGCUACAGGCUUAACACAUGCAAGUCGAGGGGUAACGAGAGGAAAGCUUGCUUUCCUUGUUGACGACCGGCGCACGGGUGAGUAACGCGUAUACAACCUGCCCCCAACUAGGGAAUAACCUUGCGAAAGUAAGACUAAUACCCUCUAAUUUCCUCAGAUGUCAUCUGACGAGGAAUAACGACUUAUCGUUUGUGGAUGGGGAUGCGUCUGAUUAGCUUGUUGGCGGGGUAACGGCCACCAAGGAAACGAUCAGGAGGGGUUCUGAGAGGAAGGUCCCCCACAUUGGAACUGAGACACGGUCCAAACUCCUAGGGGGGGCAGCAGUGAGGAAUAUUGGUCAAUGGGCGGAAGCCUGAACCAGCCAAGUAGCGUGCAGGAUGACGGCCCUAUGAGUUGUAAACUGCUUUUAUACAGGAAUAAAGUCAGCCACGUGUGGUUAUUUGUAGGUACUGUAUGAAUAAGGACCGGCUAAUUCCGUGCCAGCCGCCGCAGUAA